rnacentral:miRNA from 1 species
UACAGUUGUUCAACCAGUUACUA